GACGAACGCUGGCGGCGUGCUUAACACAUGCAAGUCGAACGAAGAGCGAUGGAAGCUUGCUUCUCUCAAUCUUAGUGGCGAAUGGGUGAGUAACGCGUAAUCAACCUGCCCUUCAGAGGGGGACAACAGUUGGAAACGACUGCUAAUACCGCAUACGAUCUAAUCUCGGCAUCGAGGAUAGAUGAAAGGUGGCCUCUACAUGUAAGCUAUCACUGAAGGAGGGGAUUGCGUCUGAUUAGCUAGUUGGAGGGGUAACGGCCCACCAAGGCGAUGAUCAGUAGCCGGUCUGAGAGGAUGAACGGCCACAUUGGGACUGAGACACGGCCCAGACUCCUACGGGAGGCAGCAGUGGGGAAUCUUCCGCAAUGGACGAAAGUCUGACGGAGCAACGCCGCGUGAGUGAUGACGGCCUUCGGGUUGUAAAGCUCUGUUAAUCGGGACGAAAGGCCUUCUUGCGAAUAGUGAGAAGGAUUGACGGUACCGGAAUAGAAAGCCACGGCUAACUACGUG
rnacentral:rRNA from 1 species